AUUUGACCUCAAAUCAGGUAGGAACACCCGCUGAACUUAAGCAUAUCAAUAAGCGGAGGAAAAGAAAAUAACAAUGAUUCCCCUAGUAACUGCGAGUGAAGAGGGACAAGCUCAAAUUUUAAAUCUAUCGGGUUUUACCUGAUCGAGUUGUAAUUUGAAGAAGCGUUUUUUUGCGUAUUUGGUCAGCCUAAGUCCUAUUGAAUGAGGCAUCAUGGAGGGUGAUAAUCCCGUCCGGUUGAUCAUUUGCGUUUUACGAUACGCUUUCUAAGAGUCAAGUUGUUUGGGAUUGCAGCUUAAAAUGGGAGGUAAAUUUCUCCUAAGGCUAAAUAACGGCGAGAGACCGAUAGCGAACAAGUACCGUGAGGGAAAGAUGAAAAGAACUUUGAAAAGAGAGUUAAACAGUACGUGAAAUUGUUGAAAGGGAAACGAUUGAAGCCAGUCGUACCUUCGGGUAAUCAGCCUUUCGGGUGCGAUUCUGUGGAGUGUGAGGAGCUUAAACACCUUCAUGUUUUGCAUAUUCGUACUCUUGGGUGUACUUGCCCGUGUGGUUGGUUAACAUCAAUUUUGGUGGUCAUAAAAUGACUGGGGGAAUGUAGCUUCGAUCUUGUAUUGAAGUGUUAUAGCCUUCGGUAGAUGUGAUGAUCGAGAUUGAGGAUUGCAACGGAUACCCUUUGGGGCUACCUGUCUGAUCUCUGAUCGUUGCUUUGGUGCCGAAAGCUUGCUUACGGUUAUCAAAGUCGAUGGUCAAUAGGUUAGAACGGGUUAAAUUCGUUAAGGAUGUUGACGUAAUGGUUUUAAACGACCCGUCUUGAAACACGGACCAAGGAGUCUAACAUAUAUGCGAGUGUUAGGGUGAUUAAACCCUUACGCGUAAUGAAAGUAAUUUUGGUGGGAACACUUUUGUGCACCAUCGACCGAUCAGGAUAUUUUUUGAUAGAUUUGAGUAAGAGCAUAUCUGCUAGGACCCGAAAGAUGGUGAACUAUGCCUGAAUAGGGUGAAGCCAGAGGAAACUCUGGU
rnacentral:rRNA from 1 species